AUGUUGUGAUGAUGGGCAAAAUG
rnacentral:piRNA from 1 species